GACGAACGCUGGCGGCGUGCCUAAUACAUGCAAGUAGAACGCACAGUUUAUACCGUAGCUUGCUACACCAUAGACUGUGAGUUGCGAACGGGUGAGUAACGCGUAGGUAACCUGCCUGGUAGCGGGGGAUAACUAUUGGAAACGAUAGCUAAUACCGCAUAAUAUUAAUUAUUGCAUGAUAAUUGAUUGAAAGAUGCAACUGCAUCACUACCAGAUGGACCUGCGUUGUAUUAGCUAGUAGGUGAGGUAACGGCUCACCUAGGCGACGAUACAUAGCCGACCUGGGAGGGUGAUCGGCCACACUGGGACUGAGACACGGCCCAGACUCCUACGGGAGGCAGCAGUAGGGAAUCUUCGGCAAUGGACGAAAGUCUGACCGAGCAACGCCGCGUGAGUGAAGAAGGUUUUCGGAUCGUAAAGCUCUGUUGUAAGAGAAGAACGGGUGUGAGAGUGGAAAGUUCACACUGUGACGGUAUCUUACCAGAAAGGGACGGCUAACUACGUG
rnacentral:rRNA from 1 species